rnacentral:rRNA from 1 species
AACGAACGCUGGCGGCAGGCUUAACACAUGCAAGUCGAACGCCCCGCAAGGGGAGUGGCAGACGGGUGAGUAACGCGUGGGAAUCUACCCAGUUCUACGGAACAACAGAGGGAAACUUCUGCUAAUACCGUAUACGCCCUAAGGGGGAAAGAUUUAUCGGAAUUGGAUGAGCCCGCGUAAGAUUAGCUAGUUGGUGAGGUAAUGGCUCACCAAGGCGACGAUCUUUAGCUGGUCUGAGAGGAUGAUCAGCCACACUGGGACUGAGACACGGCCCAGACUCCUACGGGAGGCAGCAGUGGGGAAUAUUGGACAAUGGGCGCAAGCCUGAUCCAGCCAUGCCGCGUGAGUGAUGAAGGCCUUAGGGUUGUAAAGCUCUUUCAGUAGGGAAGAUAAUGACGGUACCUACAGAAGAAGCCCCGGCUAACUUCGUGCCAGCCGCCGCAGUAAGAC